AAUAAGUGCAGUUUUAGCACUAUUCAUGUUCAACGUUUGACCGUUUGUCUUAUUUGAAAAAAGAGGUAUUUUUAUUGUUAUUAGAUAAUAAAACAUGAAUAGUACUUUAUGUGUGACUAAUUUUUUUAAUAUUUUUCAUAAUUUUUUUAAAUAAGACGGAUGGUCAAAGUGCUAAACACGGAUAUUUAUGGCUGCAUUUAUU
rnacentral:pre_miRNA from 1 species